UACGGAGGGGGCUAGCGUUGUUCGGAAUUACUGGGCGUAAAGCGCACGUAGGCGGCUUUGUAAGUUAGAGGUGAAAGCCCGGGGCUCAACUCCGGAAUUGCCUUUAAGACUGCAUCGCUUGAACGUCGGAGAGGUGAGUGGAAUUCCGAGUGUAGAGGUGAAAUUCGUAGAUAUUCGGAAGAACACCAGUGGCGAAGGCGGCUCACUGGACGACUGUUGACGCUGAGACGCGAAAGCGUGGGGAGCGAACAGG
rnacentral:rRNA from 1 species